CCUACGGGAGGCAGCAGUGGGGAAUUUUGGACAAUGGGCGCAAGCCUGAUCCAGCAAUGCCGCGUGAGUGAAGAAGGCCUUCGGGUUGUAAAGCUCUUUUGUCAGGGAAGAAACGGCUGAGGUUAAUACCUUCGGCUAAUGACGGUACCUGAAGAAUAAGCACCGGCUAACUACGUGCCAGCAGCCGCGGUAAUACGUAGGGUGCAAGCGUUAAUCGGAAUUACUGGGCGUAAAGCGUGCGCAGGCGGUUUUGUAAGUCUGACGUGAAAUCCCCGGGCUCAACCUGGGAAUUGCGUUGGAGACUGCGAGGCUGGAGUCUGGCAGAGGGGGGUAGAAUUCCACGUGUAGCAGUGAAAUGCGUAGAGAUGUGGAGGAACACCGAUGGCGAAGGCAGCCCCCUGGGUCAAGACUGACGCUCAUGCACGAAAGCGUGGGGAGCAAACAGGAUUAGAUACCCUGGUAGUCCACGCCCUAAACGAUGUCUACUAGUUGUCGGGUCUUAAUUGACUUGGUAACGCAGCUAACGCGUGAAGUAGACCGCCUGGGGAGUACGGUCGCAAGAUUAAAAACUCAAAAGGAAUUGACGG
rnacentral:rRNA from 1 species